rnacentral:tRNA from 1 species
ACCUACAUGAUGAAACUGGUAGACAUGCGAGACUUAAAAUUUCGUCCGAAAGGGUCCUGGUUCAAGUCCAGGUGUGGGUA